UACGGAGGAUGCGAGCGUUAUCCGGAUUUAUUGGGUUUAAAGGGUGCGUAGGCGGGAAAUUAAGUCAGCGGUGAAAUUUACAGGCUCAACCUGUACCCUGCCGUUGAAACUGGUUUUCUUGAGUAUAGAUGAAGUAGGCGGAAUUCGUUGUGUAGCGGUGAAAUGCAUAGAUAUAACGAGGAACCCCAAUUGCGUAGGCAGCUUACUAAGCUAUAACUGACGCUGAUGCACGAAAGCGUGGGUAUCAAACAGG
rnacentral:rRNA from 1 species